AGUGAACGCUGGCGGCGCGCCUAAUACAUGCAAGUCGAGCGAGAAGACGUAGCAAUACGUUUGUAAAGCGGCGAACGGGUGAGGAAUACAUGGGUAACCUACCCUCGAGUGGGGAAUAACUAGCCGAAAGGUUAGCUAAUACCGCGUACGCUUCUUGGACUUCGGUUCAGGGAGGAAAGCGAUGCCGAGGGUAUCGCGCUCUUGGAUGGGCUCAUGUCCUAUCAGCUUGUUGGGAGGUAACGGCUCACCAAGGCUUCGACGGGUAGCUGGUCUGAGAGGACGAUCAGCCACACUGGCACUGCGACACGGGCCAGACUCCUACGGGAGGCAGCAGUAAGGAAUAUUGCGCAAUGGGCGAAAGCCUGACGCAGCGACGCCGCGUGGGGGAGUGAAGGUC
rnacentral:rRNA from 1 species